rnacentral:pre_miRNA from 1 species
AGGGAGAUCGUCUCGGGCAUACAGUAUUGUCAGGUGCAUGUAGCCAGACCUGAUCUCCCUGC